CCAUGGUGUUCCCAGAUAGAGGACAAGAACAUCCACUUCUAUGUCGGCAAAUGUGUCACCACUGGAACUUUAAGGUGCAGCUGCAAGGAAUCUUAUUUUGUGAGUGAAACACUGUACAGACCGGAAUCACAGCUGACAAACAAGAAACUGGUCCAACUUGUUGUGUUUACUCUGAGGCCAAAUGGCUGGAGAGAGGAUUCAGGCUUGUACAAAUCAGCAGAGGAUAUGCAGCAAGAACACAAAGGGAAUGUUAGAAAGGGAAAUGUCAAAGAGGCAGCUAUUAAGGGACAAAUCAACAAAAGCAGUAAAGUGCAGGAAAAAUUAGCUGGUGGAGAGACUGAUAGCAAACAGAAUAAAAAUAAUGUUGAUAAAUGUGUGAUGGGAAAAUCUGUUAAUGAAAAAACUAACAAUACAUGUGUGAAAUGUGGAGGUUUACGUAAUGAUUUACUGCAGACAGGAGAAUCAAGAUACUCAGAAAAAGACAAAUUGGUGACUGACGAAAGACAAGACUUGAAUGAUGGUGAAAUAAAAAAACAUUGUACAUGUACUGAUUUGCAUUCAGAAACUUUUAUAGACAAUGCAAAUGACUCCCCAGGCCCUAGUGGUAGCCAGAAUUCAUCCUCGUGUGAUAUUACCCAUGAUAAAUUCAGACAGUCUUUAAAAGAUAUCAGCAGUCUGUUGAAUGAAUUCUCAGACGGAACUUUAAUAUUAGAUAUUGACUUGGACUUUUAUUCCACCAAAAACCCUUUUCUGGAGGUGUACACUCCUUCACAGUAUAAAAUACUACAGGAACUGUACAGAUUUCAAGCACCCACCAGCAAUUCAGAUGAGGAUAUUGAGGCUUGUGUAGUUAAAAGGGAAAAUGAGUUGAAUCAUUUAAAGCAGGAGUUCCUGAAGUUUUCACAAUGUUCAGAACCAUUGCUAAGCCAUCCGAAAGCGAAUCAGAUGAAAGCUUUGGUAGAGGACUUGCAAUCUUGUCAGACAGAGGGUGGUGAUGCCGUGAACUUUGACCUCUUGCACGAGGCGGGAUGUACCUGUGACGACACAGAGCUCCCCCACCAUGUCAGCAGUCAGGAGCAAAUAAAUCUCUUGGUCGACGCAACUCAAGAAUUCCUGUCCCACCUCAAAAGACCAACCAUUAUUACAAUGGCCAGAUCCAGCCAAGAUGACUACUGCCCACCAGAUCAAGUGGAAUCCAUCCAGAACAGUGUUUUGGAGAUUCUACAGGACUUGUACUUAGAGAUAGAGCUUACUGUUGAUUAUGAGUUAUCAAUGGAAUCAACAAACCUUUAAUUGUGUUUUUGAGUAUUCGUGAAUUAAAAUAAAUACCAAUAAAUA
rnacentral:misc_RNA from 1 species